rnacentral:rRNA from 1 species
UAAUACGUAGGGUGCGAGCGUUAAUCGGAAUUACUGGGCGUAAAGCGUGCGCAGGCGGUUCGUUAAGUUCGUCGUGAAAGCCCCGGGCUCAACCUGGGAAUGGCGAUGGAAACUGGCGGGCUGGAGUGUGGCAGAGGGGGGUGGAAUUCCACGUGUAGCAGUGAAAUGCGUAGAGAUGUGGAGGAACACCGAUGGCGAAGGCAGCCCCCUGGGCCGACACUGACGCUCAGGCACGAAAGCGUGGGGAGCAAACAGGAUUAGAUACCCUGGUAGUCCACGCCCUAAACGAUGGCAACUGGGUGUCGGGGAAGCGAUUCCUUGGUACCGUAGCUAACGCGUGAAGUUGCCCGCCUGGGGAGUACGGCCGCAAGGUUA